GCCUACGGGGCGCAGCAUUGGGGGAUAUUGCACAAUGGGGGAAACCCUGAUGCAGCGACGCCGCGUGGGCGAAGAAGUAUUUCGGUAUGUAAAGCCCUAUCAGCAGGGAAGAAGAAAUGACGGUACCUGAGUAAGAAGCACCGGCUAAAUACGUGCCAGCAGCCGCGGUAAUACGUAGGGGGCAAGCGUUAUCCGGAUUUACUGGGAGUAAAGGGAGCGUAGACGGCUGUGCAAGCCAGAUGUGAAAGCCCGGGGCUCAACCCCGGGACUGCAUUUGGAACUGUGUGGCUGGAGUGUCGGAGAGG
rnacentral:rRNA from 1 species